rnacentral:sRNA from 1 species
GUAUGUGUUGUUUUGCCCAGCCCAGCACAUUCAAGGAAGAUCAGUGAGCUCAUUUCAGCUCUGAUAUAUGAGGCGUUUUCCAUGGUGUCAGGGGAAGUACAUAGAUGACCCAGACUGGUCCUUGUCCUCAAAUUGCUUACAGCCUAGUUAGGGAGAAAAGGUGCUCAGGACACGCUGCUGCCACCUAGCCAUCUCCCAGGAGGGACCUAGUAAGAUGCUUGGGUGGUCAGAACCGUGACUGCACAGAGGAGACUGUGCUUAAGGAGGGCAGGAAAGGCUUCCUGGAGGGGAGGUAAGAACUGGAGCUGGAUCAUGAAGGUAGGCAGAAAGAAGUGAGCAAAAGCUUGCAAGGAAGGAAGAAUCACCUGAGCAGAGACCCAUGGGGAUGCAGAGGUGUCCAGAGGAGAGUGAGGAAGAAGGGGCUGAGUAGGAUGAGACCCAGCAAGUGGGCUGGGUGGGGCAGCAAUGUUCCAGCUCCAUCAACUGGCCCGUCUAAUAGUUAAGAAUACAGCCUCCUCCUACCAUAGGUUUAGCAGCCAGCUGUGGACUUUGAAAGAGGGAGCAGAGGUAGCCCCAGGACAGUGAGUGGAUUUGUGUCUCUAUCCAGUGUGGAUAAAUCUUGGAAGGAGCUCAGUAAUGUCCUCUCAGGGAUCUUCUGCGCCUCUCUCAACUUCAUCGACUCCACCAACACGGUCACUCCCACUGCCUCCUUCAAACCCCUGGGUCUGGCCAAUGGUGAGAUAACCCCUACAGCCCUUUCCUUCUUCCUCUUACCUCCUGCCCAAACCUUUGCCUCCUUUUCCCUCAGUUUCCUGCUUCCUCAGCCUGGGCUAGAUCCUAAGUCCCCUGUGUGUGCAGGCCCCCAAUACUGUGCCAUCUCUGCAUGCCUUUUCCCAAGGAGAGAAGGGAGUCCCACUCCCAGCUGGGACUGUCCAGACUGUGGUGCUAGAGGUGGUGUGGGGAGCAGGAGGGUCAUUCCCAUCUCUGGAGUGUGGACCCUGAGGGGUCAGAGCCCAAGGCCCACCCCAGACAGACCUCUGUCUCCCUCAGACACUGACCACUACUUUCUGCGCUAUGCUGUGCUGCCGCGGGAGGUGGUCUGCACUGAAAACCUCACCCCCUGGAAGAAGCUCUUGCCCUGUAGUUCCAAGGCAGGCCUCUCUGUGCUGCUGAAGGCAGAUCGCUUGUUCCACACCAGCUACCACUCCCAGGCAGUGCAUAUCCGCCCUGUUUGCAGAAAUGCACGCUGUACUAGCAUCUCCUGGGAGCUGAGGCAGACCCUGUCAGUUGUAUUUGAUGCCUUCAUCACGGGGCAGGGGAAGAAAGACUGGUCCCUCUUCCGGAUGUUCUCCCGAACCCUCACGGAGCCCUGCCCCCUGGCCUCAGAGAGCCGAGUCUAUGUGGAUAUCACCAACUACAACCAGGACAACGAGACAUUAGAGGUGCACCCAUCCCCGACCACUACAUAUCAGGACGUCAUCCUAGGCACUCGGAAGACCUAUGCCAUCUAUGACUUGCUUGACAGCGCCAUGAUCAACAACUCUCGAAACCUCAACAUCCAGCUCAAGUGGAAGAGACCCCCAGAGAAUGGUGAGUGGGUGGGUGGUUGGACUGCCGGGUUGCAACGGCUACAGAGAAAAGACUCACAAUCCCACGUCUUUGCCGUAAGAUGAUAGGGUUGUAUUUAGACCAGAUCUCCAGAGUCAUAUGCUGCUGACUGUAGCUCUUCCAAGCUCUAUGAUUUUGGGUAGGUUCCUAAACUCCCCAAGCAUCAGCAUCCACAUCUGAAAAAUAAAGAGUAUACUUAGUGAAUUGAAUGAGAUGAUGUGAAAAAUGGAGUUAGUUCAUGCAUUUGCUUCAUCAACCAAAUACUUAUGAAUUCAUACUAAGUGCCAGGCAUAGAGUAUUGAAUACGACAGAGGACACUGCACUCAAGAAAUAUAAUGUCUACUAGCUAGGGCAGGUGUCAGUUAAUUAAUUACAGUUGUGUUCAGUUCCCUUUACCAAGUGAAAGAGCAGAAUAUCCUGAGAGGACCUGGUUUGGGUUCGAAGGAGGCACGGUGUUCGUCACAUAAGCACUUUAAUACUAGCAACUUAUUGUCAUUAUUGCUUGUUGGCUGGGGAAGACAGGGAUGAUUCCAGAACCCAGAUUUCCCAGUUUCAGUGGCAGGGCUGUUCCUCCAUCUACUCACUGGCUUGGGACUCUGAACAUGGCCUGGGCAGUUGGGGUGGGGAGUGAUUCUUACUUUUGGCAGCUGUUAACUGUUGACAUUUCUUUACACAGAGGCCCCCCCAGUACCCUUCCUGCAUGCCCAGCGGUACGUGAGCGGCUAUGGGCUGCAGAAGGGGGAGCUGAGCACACUGCUGUACAACACCCACCCAUACCGGGCCUUCCCGGUGCUGCUGCUGGACACUGUACCCUGGUAUCUGCGGCUGUAUGUGCACACCCUCACCAUCACCUCCAAGGGCAAGGAGAACAAACCAAGUUACAUCCACUACCAGCCUGCCCAGGACCGGCUGCAACCCCACCUCCUGGAGAUGCUGAUUCAGCUGCCGGCCAACUCAGUCACCAAGGUUUCCAUCCAGUUUGAGCGGGCGCUGCUGAAGUGGACCGAGUACACGCCAGAUCCUAACCAUGGCUUCUAUGUCAGCCCAUCUGUCCUCAGCGCCCUUGUGCCCAGCAUGGUAGCAGCCAAGCCAGUGGACUGGGAAGAGAGUCCCCUCUUCAACAGCCUGUUCCCAGUCUCUGAUGGCUCUAACUACUUCGUGCGGCUCUACACAGAGCCGCUGCUGGUGAACCUGCCGACACCGGACUUCAGCAUGCCCUACAACGUGAUCUGCCUCACGUGCACGGUGGUGGCCGUGUGCUACGGCUCCUUCUACAAUCUCCUCACCCGAACCUUCCACAUCGAGGAGCCCCGCACAGGUGGCCUGGCCAAGCGGCUGGCCAACCUUAUCCGGCGCGCCCGAGGUGUCCCCCUACUCUGAUUAUUGCCCUUUCCAGCAGCUGUAGCUGCUGUUCUCUCUGGGGAGGAGAGCACAAGGGCUCUUUCUGCCACUUGCUCUCCUCAGAAUUGGCUUUUGGAACCAAAGUGCCCUGGACCAGGUCAGGGCCUACAGCUGUGCAUCCAGUACAGGAGCCAUGAGCCAAAUAUGGCAUUUGAAUUUGAAUUAACUUAAAAAUUCAUUUCCUCACCUGUAGUGGCCACCUCUAUAUUGAGGUGCUCAAUAAGCAAAAGUGGUCAGUGGCUGCUGUAUUGGAAAGAACAGAAAAAGACUUCCAUCACUGCAGAAAGGUCGGUUGGCAGCACCGGCCAAGGUGAUGGGGUGUGCUGCAGAGUGUGUGUCACCGUGUGGUGGAUG